AAAUUUCUUCCUUCAGAGAGCCUCAAAUCAGUAUCAUCAGGAUUAAGUAACUCCCCAUGGCAAUAUUUAACUCCUUGGUUGUGCUACAGAGGUUCCAUCAGUGUUUCCUCAUCCUGAGGAUCAGGAUGUCUUCUGGAGACAGUGGCAUAGGCAGCAGCAGGAAUUUCGUGGGGCUCAUGUUUCUAAAAUAAAACCUAAUUCCCGGAUGUGAAAAUAUGCUUAAAUGGAUGUCAAACUGAGUGGAAUUCAGCUCAGGGAGUUGCAGUUAAGAGUCAGCUUACAACUAAAUGCACGAGCAACCUGCAAUUACAUUUAGGAGAUUAAAAGCAUCAACUCUCACAGAUGAACAUCUUUAGAAGGUAACAAAGCCUUUUACAAGAAUUUUCCAAAUUGUUUUCAGAAUACCAACAUUCUAAAAGGUAUUAACUUUUAUUUUAAGAAAGAGAAUUCUGUAUUAAAAUAACUGUAGAAAAUUAAACAAAAUAUACAUUUCUUUGACAGAUUCACAAAGCAUGUGCAAUGAUUAAUUUUAAGUGUCCACUUGGCUAGAUGAAGGGAUAUCCAAAUAGCUAGAAAGCCAUUAUUUUUGGGUAUGUCUGUGAAGCUGUUUCUAGAAGAGAUUGACAUUUGAAUCAGUGGACUGAGUAAGGAAGAUACACCUUCAUCCAAUAUGGAUAAGCAACAUCCAAUUGGCUGAGAGCCCAGAUAGAACAAAAAGACAGAAAAAAAAGCAAAUUCGUUUAUUAUCUCUUCUACAGCUGAAAUGCUCUUCUCCUGCCCUUGGACCUCAGAACUCCAACCAGAUUCUCUGGCCUUUGGACUCUGGGACUUGCACUAGCAGUCCCAGGUUGUCAGGCCUUUGGUCUUGGACUGAGAGUUUCAUCAUCAGCUUCCCUGGUUCUGAGGCUUUUAGACUCAGAUUGAGCCAAUCUACUGGAUUUCCUGGUUCUCCAGCCUGCAGACAGCCACUUGUGGGGAUUCUCAGCCUCCAUAAUCGUGUGAGCCAAUUUCUCCAAUAAACCUCCUCUCAUCUAUCUAUCUAUCUAUCUGUCUGUCUGUCUGUCUGUCUGUCUGUCUGUCUAUCUAUCUAUCUAUCUAUCUAUCAAUCUAUUUACCCACCUACCCAUCCAUCCUAUUGGUUCUCUCUGCAGAACUCUGAUUGACACAGCAUCGUUAUGUAUUUAAGGCUGUACAAUACAAUACAAAAAUUUUCUUAACCUAACCUUAAAGCAAAUAAUCAAAUCUAAUUAACAAACAUAAGCCAUCAAUAAGCAGAAAGUGAUGGCAGGUAGGGGUAGGGACUCUUCCUGACCAUGAAAUUGUGCUAGAACCUUAUAAUAUGUCCUUGGAAUUCCAGGCAAAGCACUAUAUAUUUGGUAAACAUGCAUUUAGUCACACAAAUCAAUGUGUUUUUU
rnacentral:lncRNA from 10 species